rnacentral:rRNA from 1 species
CGCUGGCGGCGUGCCUAACACAUGCAAGUCGAACGGAACGAAAAGAGCUUGCUCUUGGCGUUUAGUGGCGGACGGGUGAGUAACACGUGAGUAACCUGCCUUUCAGAGGGGAAUAAUGUCUGGAAACGGACACUAAUACCGCAUAAAAUAUUUUAACCGCAUGAUUGAAAUAUCAAAGGAGCAAUCCGCUGAAAGAUGGACUCGCGUCUGAUUAGCCAGUUGGCGGGGUAACGGCCCACCAAAGCGACGAUCAGUAGCCGGACUGAGAGGUUGAACGGCCACAUUGGGACUGAGACACGGCCCAGACUCCUACGGGAGGCAGCAGUGGGGGAUAUUGCACAAUGGGCGCAAGCCUGAUGCAGCAAACCGCCGCGUGCAGGAAGACGGUCUUCGGAUUGUAAACUGUUGUCCUCUGUGACGAUAAUGACGGUAGCAGAGGAGGAAGCCACGGCUAACUACGUGCCAGCAGCCGC